rnacentral:rRNA from 1 species
AGUGAACGCUGGCGGUAGGCCUAACACAUGCAAGUCGAACGGCAGCACAGUAAGAGCUUGCUCUUACGGGUGGCGAGUGGCGGACGGGUGAGGAAUACAUCGGAAUCUACUUUUUCGUGGGGGAUAACGUAGGGAAACUUACGCUAAUACCGCAUACGAUCUACGGGUGAAAGCAGGGGAGCUUCGGACCUUGCGCGAUUGAAUGAGACGAUGUCGGAUUAGCUAGUUGGCGGGGUAAAGGCCCACCAAGGCGACGAUCCGUAGCUGGUCUGAGAGGAUGAUCAGCCACACUGGAACUGAGACACGGUCCAGACUCCUACGGGAGGCAGCAGUGGGGAAUAUUGGACAAUGGGCGCAAGCCUGAUCCAGCAAUGCCGCGUGGGUGAAGAAGGCCUUCGGGUUGUAAAGCCCUUUUGUUGGGAAAGAAAAGCAGCAGGUUAAUACCCCGCUGUUCUGACGGUACCCAAAGAAUAAGCACCGGCUAACUUCGUG